rnacentral:rRNA from 1 species
CCCUUAGAUGUCCUGGGCCGCACGCGCGUUACACUGAUGCAUUCAACGAGCUUAUAACCUUGGCCGAGAGGCCUGGGCAAUCUUGUUAACGUGCAUCGUGAUAGGGAUAGAUUAUUGAAAUUAUUAAUCUUGAACGAGGAAUUCCUAGUAAACGCAGAUCAUCAAUCUGCAUUGAAUACGUCCCUGCCCUUUGUACACACCGCCCGUCGCACCUACCGAUUGGAUGGUCCGGUGAAGCCUCGGGAUUGUGGUUCUUGCCGCUUUAUUGUGGCGUGACCGCGAGAACUUGUCUAAACCUUAUCAUCUAGAGGAAGGUGAAGUCGUAACA